CUGUCGCCCUCGUUGAUCUUCCAUACUGUAGUAGUCAUCCCCGCCUUCUCCACAAGGACUCCAAGCAGUCGCCCAAUCCAGAGGAUGCUAACAACCUCAAAUUGCUGGUAAUGUCGCUAACGACUUCGAAUUAAUAUGAUAUAUCAUCUAGGGUUUUAUCUUCGGAUCCUUGUGUAAUAUUUGUUUGUAACACACACAUUUUAUUAUAGUACAAGGAAACACUGGUUUCAAGAUAAAAUUAAUGUGAAUUACGAUUAAGGGUUUAUGGCUUAAUUUUAAUAGGAAAUAUUUUAUUUAUUUUGGAUAUGUGUCAUACUCAUACACAUUGUUUAUUGAAAUUCUUCCUUCAUUUUAGAUCAAUCUACAGUACAUAGUAUGCCUUACAAACUGUUUAGUGAAUUAUAUCAUUAAUUUUUAUCUUUUAAUCCCAUGCAUACAAUUUCAAUCGCCCAUUCAGCGAAACUAAAACACCAAAUUAAACCGAAUGCAUUUCGGGUUCUUGCUCCGCCACAAGCUAGUUGCGUGGCUCAACACUCAUCCGCACCAAGACACCAAACUCAGUCAUCUGACCUCGUCCAUGUGCACCUGCCUCAAGCCACCGAUCGCGUCACUCCUCUCUAGCGCCCGCGUUAGUCGUCGCGCAUCGGAAUCAGGUAAUCCCUAAUGUUACAUCAAUUUGUUUGCAAGGUUUAAUAAUGCUUUUGUUUUUUUAUACAAUAGCAUUACAUACAUAUAUUGGAAAGUUCCUACAUGAAGUAUGUUUAUUUUUCUAUGUACAAUGAACUGAUGUACACCCACAAGGAAAUAUGUCUUGUUUUACGUACCCCGUACAAGGAACUGAUGGACCCAACCAAAUCAACCAUACACACAUGACAUCACUAAAUCUACCAAACGAGUUGCACACCCGUAGCACACCCUCAAAACCAACGGUUUAGAUCACUGGAUAAUUCAUCUCUUAUUCACUCAAAUCCAAGGGCCAAUGGUUAUUUGGAUCAUCCUUCAAUUCCUUUCUCAUCCCUCACACAUACAGAUACCCCCCUCCGCUUCUGCCUCCCCUCGCAACCCCGCGUCCCCUGUCUCCCUCACACGUCACAUCGUCGUCGCUGUCACCGACCCCUCUCUCUCUUCUCGAAACCAUGACGUUAACACGGAUAUUAGAACAAGUAUAGAUGGUGAACAGGGGAAUAAUGUUUGUUCAUAUAACAAUAAUUCAAAGUAGAUUAUAGUAAAUGCUACCUUUAAUUUUGAAUGACAACGAAGGGUCGUUAAAAACUCGAGGAAUUCUCUCUAUUUUUUCCCCUGCCCGUAGCCGUUGGGUAGCAGGUAGAUCAACUCCUGCACUGCAUGCUUUUGAGUGGGAGAGGACAAGAAAGACGAUGGCGAGACGAGAUGAGGUGAGGAGGCGACCGGCCGACCGCGACAGGGAGAGAUGAAGAUGAGAUACUUUGGACGCUGGACGAUGACGCGAAUUCGGGCGCUAGCCUACUACCGCGCCCCCACCUGUUGUUAGCUAGCAGGAGUAUUUGGGUGUCGCCAAGGUUGGCAAAAGGAGCAGGCCAGCAGGGAAAACUUUGUAAAAGCUCUAGGCUGCCAAACUCUGACCCCGUGCGGUCCUACUUCCCAGGCACGUUCUCCUACGUGCAGUGGAAUGGUGGCAGUCGACGCAGCAACAAGCAAGGUGUGGAUCGAGAAGGCGUCGGGAGAGUCGACAACAGCGCUGAACAUCUCCGGCAAGGUGUGUUGUCAUGAUGCGCGGCUGCACAGAGAAGCGAGAGAUCCCACUGGCGCCGCCGGCCGAGUCGAGCGCGGACCCCUUCCCCUCCAGUCCUGCUGUGUGCUGUCCCUUCAACGGGGAACACCGGCAAAGUUCCCACCCAAAACACACGCUUGUGGCUGUUUAUUCUUGCGUAAAGCACCUCUAGGCUCUAGUUUUGAGGGCCCGGAUAUACUACGGCCCACUCCAUACGUACGUCGGUCCGGCCCAGAACCAGAGAACAGGCGCUUCGCUUUCUCGCUCGAACCUAGCUAGGCAGUGUGCGCCACUUCAUUUGCAGCCAGCUCGCUCGCUCGGGGGCGAUGGGUAAUGUAAUAGAUAGGGUUGAAGAGUUAUUUCUAUAAUUUUUAAAAAAAUAUUUUAUUGUUUUUUUAUUUUUUACGAUUAUUAAUUUAUCGAGUUUUUUUUCUUUGUCGAGUGCUUUUCGACACUCGGCAAAGUCUUUGUCGAGUGUCAAAAAAAUACUCAGCAAAGAACUCUUUGUCGAUAAAAUAUUUGCCGAGUGCAGUGACUUCUAUCUCUAUAAUCAGCAGUAGCUGUCGAGAGCUACGCCAGAUCAGCUCUCUUACCUUGAAAUCGUAGAAGACCAAUCUCUUUCCCAGUAAUCCACAUAUUCAGAGAACACAUAAGACACGGUAUGUAGGGCCUCUUUUAAUCUUCUAUCUCUUAUAAGGGUAUAUGUUCUUUUAUAUAGAGAUGUGAGAUUCGCCCAUAUAACCUUACUAGAGUUUCUUAAUACUUCCCUUUGAACGAAUACCGCGGUGAACAUAUGACUCAUUAAAACUUCUAAAAACUCAGUGGAAAAAUAUAUAGUACGGGAGUGGUGAGCGAGAUAGAGUCAUGUGACGGGACAAUAGGGGCAUAGGGCAGGCGAUCUUCGCAAAGUCCAAAGCGGCUACUACCUCACAAAUGUGGAGUACAUGCAUAUAGAGUACGGUAUAUGCCAUGCCACCACCAGGACAGCAGUGCUCCAUGCAGCCCUUCGAUCUACAGUACAGAGGGCAGUGUCAGUCGAGUGUCUGUUAGACUGUUUGUUCAGUAAAUUCAGAGGUAGUCAGUUGCGUGGAAAAUGUAGUAAAUUCGGAGGUAGUCAGUUCUGUGGAAAAUGUAAAUUUGGCAGCCUCAUGUCAUUAUUGUCAGCAGCAUAUAUAUAGCCAGACACACCCAAUUCAGAGAUUUUGAAGCAAGCACCUGACGAAACUGCACAAUAAUUAACCAAGGGGGUGAACGGAAGAAUGUGUCCACAUAUCAGGUGCUGCUGGAGCCUGGGACUGGGAAGCCCUUCAAUCAAAAGUCGAAACUGUACGUGUGUGGAGCUUGCUAGCUAGGCCAGUAAAAACUCAGCGUACGUGAUUCAUCUCUCUACCCUGCAAAAAUGACAAAAGACACAGCUAAACAUAAACAAAAACAAGCAGUGGCUUCUCUUCAACAGGCAGGCAGUCGUUCACCGACCCAGCUGAGCAGCCGAAAACACGAUACUGGUUCGUUUACUCUCUCUCUCUCUCUCUCUCUCUAUCAUGCAUCACAGUUAAUUAGGGGGCGGGGGCGGCAAGCCUAAGCCUACUAUUACACCCUGAUGAAAGUCUGACGAUACGCCGCCGUGAGCCCGGCCCGGAGCUUCAUGUCCUUGAGGGCAGGGUCCUCCAGGAGCAGCACCUUGUCCAUGUCCCUCACCCCGAUCAUGUGGAGGUGGUCGCCGUCCUCCCUCUCCUUGCCCCUGAACAGGAGCCUCUGCUCCCGAGGCUCCAGCCCUGUCAUCUUCCACAGCACCGCCUUCAGCUCACCUGCAAUCGUUUUUUUGCACGCCCACACUGCACGCGUUAAAUAAUUAUUAGAAUAUAUUUCUUCUACAAUUGUGUGACAGCUCAUCGCAUGCUAAUAGGUGGCGAACCGACGACAAGGGAGAGGAAGGUUCCACGCAGGAUCGUCAUCGUGCACUUGCAGGUAGCUAUGCAGAUCGACAUAUUGGUCAUUGUGCAGAGACUGCAGACAAGCUAGCUAGCCCAUGCCAUUGUCUGUGUUUUCUAUUGCUAUGCUCCUACAUGGACAGGCAGGACAACCCAGUGAUACUUGUGGAGUUGUUGAGGGCUUGAGGGCGGGCCUGGUGACACUGCACGCACUCGUCAGUCAUUUUAUUGCUGAAG
rnacentral:lncRNA from 1 species